rnacentral:lncRNA from 1 species
AUUAUAACUGCCCCCUUUGAUUGUAACCAUUCAGUUUGCAGCAUUCGUUUUUGUAAUAGCAGUUUGGCUGCUAUGGGUGUGAUUCAAUGGUAACCUACAAGGCAAAUUUGUACAGGAGCUGACAGAUUUUUCUAACAAAAUAAGGAGACUUUGAAGCACAUUGAAUAGGAGUUUUUAAAUGAAUAGGAUUUUUUAAAGGAAAAAGAGUAGGAGCUUGGGGGGGAAGGCUGGUUGAAAUAAAUGAGCAAAUCACAAAUAAUAAAUCCUUUAGAAAUACCUUGAUUGGCAGUAAGUGUGGAUUAUGCUCAUCUCAGUAUUUAAUUAGAAAUAACUUACCUUUGUCUUUUGUCUUUUUAAUUAAAGUGGCUGUAAAAAAGAAGGUCCAGAUGAACUGAGAUUGUUUGCUUAGGAAUUCUGUUUUACUCUUUUCCUUUUACCUGAUGUUCUAAAACAGGGCUUACCUUGUUGAGGACCUUAGAGGCUUUGCAAUUCUAGAUUGUGAUUCUUUCAUAUCAUUUUAGUUUUUCUCCCAAGACUACACUAAAGGAGACAUCACGAGAUUUGCAAGGUUAAAAACAAUUCUGCACGUGCUUCCUCCUGCUCCCAAAUCCGGUCAUCCACCUUUCAGAGCAGCACCGUAAAGUGAAGACAGACAUUUAUUAGAUGAAAUUCUGGUUUCACUUUUACACUUGUGCAAGCAUUUUUAACAGUAAAGGAGAGGAAAGGGAGGAAUUUAUAUUUCUAGAUAAUAUAUGAAAAUUACCUUGAUAUUGUAUUUUUAAGAUCUUUCACCAAUACUGCAGUGCUGCACUAGAAAUAAUUAGUUUAAGAAAAUACAUUCAACAUUGUCCAGGUGAUCCUGUCACCUUUUAGAUGACGAAAAACAUCUUGAGGAUGUUUUGUACAGUUAUUUUCCCAUUGUUACUCUUAGAGACUUUUGUUUCAAAAAGGCAGGCUCAUUUUAUUUUGUUUUAUCUUAGAACAUUUUAGCAGCUCUUUGUCAUGGGUUAAAAAAAUCUAGAAUUAAAAAAAUGUUUAAUAUAUGAUUUAUAUAAUUUUGACAAGAAUACAAAUUCUUAGUCGUUCAAAAUUGGAAGCGCUCUUAGAAGUGUCAAGCUCAGCUUUCCAUUCCACAAAUGAAGUAACUGGUAACUGUGACUUAUUAUGUUAUACAGUGACAGUUAUUAUGUUAUACAGUGUCAGUUAUACAGUGACAACCAGGACAAAAUCCUAGGGUUCUAGAUUCCCCUUCUGGUGCUCUUUUUACCAGAUGAUGGCAUUACUAAUUGCCUACCUUGAGGCCUUUGAAAUCACCAUGUCUGAUAAAAACAUGCAAUUGCUUUGGUGAAUUUGUUUGUUUUAUUGUUGUUGCUUUGAGUGAAUGCUUCAGUUUGCUCUAGAUUUUACUUUGUUAAAAAUUACCAUGUUUUAACCCCCGAAAACAUUUAAUGUUUUUGAAAUGAUUUUUUCAUAACAAUCUUAUGAGUCUAUUAUAUAAUAGGAAGUAUUUUGGAAAUUUAAUGGUGAUAUUUCUUUGGAAAAGAAAAAUAAAAACUCUGGAAUGCA